rnacentral:rRNA from 1 species
AACGAACGCUGGCGGCAGGCUUAACACAUGCAAGUCGAACGCAUCCUUCGGGGUGGGUGGCAGACGGGUGAGUAACGCGUGGGAACGUGCCCUUCAGUUCGGGAUAACCCAGGGAAACUUGGGCUAAUACCGGAUACGUGCGAGAGCAGAAAGAUUUAUCGCUGAAGGAUCGGCCCGCGUCUGAUUAGCUAGUUGGUGAGGUAAUGGCUCACCAAGGCGACGAUCAGUAGCUGGUCUGAGAGGAUGAUCAGCCACAUUGGGACUGAGAAACGGCCCAAACUCCUACAGGAGGCAGCAGUGGGGAAUAUUGGACAAUGGGCGCAAGCCUGAUCCAGCCAUGCCGCGUGAGUGAUGAAGGCCUUAGGGUUGUAAAGCUCUUUCGUCCGGGACGAUAAUGACGGUACCGGAAGAAGAAGCCCCGGCUAACUUCGUGCCAGCAGCCGCCGUAAUAC